CCUAACAAUAACAUGGGAAAUGGGGGUGGAGAUGGCAAGAUCCAUGGUCAAUUUCAUGAUCAAACUGAAGAGGGAUCUGAUCGGAGGGAGGAUUCCAUAGAUGGAGAAAAGAUGGGUGAAGAAAACAAAGAGAAUGUUGGUGAAGAAGGAGAGAGGGAGGAUAGCGCUGAAAAUCACCAGACAGAGAAGGAAGAGAUCAAGGACAAUGUUAGCGAAGAUAAUGGGGGUGAAGAAAACAAACUUAAUGAUGUUCAAGAUGGGGAGAAUGUAGAGAGCAAAGAGACUGAUAACGGAGAAAGCAAAGAGGUCAAAAAGGGAGAAAAUGAAGGCAGGGAGAAUCCUGAUGAGAAUAAGGAGAAUG
rnacentral:misc_RNA from 1 species